GAUGAACGCUGGCGGCGUGCCUAAUACAUGCAAGUCGAGCGAACAGACGAGGAGCUUGCUCCUCUGACGUUAGCGGCGGACGGGUGAGUAACACGUGGAUAACCUACCUAUAAGACUGGGAUAACUUCGGGAAACCGGAGCUAAUACCGGAUAAUAUAUUGAACCGUAUGGUUCAAUAGUGAAAGACGGUUUUGCUGUCACUUAUAGAUGGAUCCGCGCCGCAUUAGAUAGUUGGUAAGGUAACGGCUUACCAAGGCAACGAUGCGUAGACGACCUGAGAGGGUGAUAGGCGGCACUGGAGCGGAGACACGGUCCAGACUCCUGCGGGAGGCAGCAGACGGGAAUCGUCCGCAGUGGGCGAAAGCUUGACGGAGCAACGCCGCGUGAGAGAUGGAGAUCUUCGGAUCGUAAAGCUCUGUUAUUAGGGAAAAACAAAUGUGUAAGUAACUAUGCACGUCUUGACGGUACCUAAUCAGAAAGCCACGGCUAACUACGUG
rnacentral:rRNA from 1 species